rnacentral:rRNA from 1 species
UACAGAGGUGGCGAGCGUUAUUCGGAAUUACUGGGCGUAAAGGGCGCGUAGGCGGCACGGCAAGUCGGGAGUGAAAGGCCUGGGCUCAACCGAGGAACUGCUUUCGAGACUGCCGAGCUAGAGUGCGGAAGGGGCAACUGGAAUUCCCAGUGUAGCGGUGAAAUUCGUAGAUAUUCGCAAGAACACCAGUGGCGAAGGCGGCUCACUGGCUCGGUACUGACGCUGAGGUGCGAAAGCGUGGGGAGCAAACAGG